CCUACGGGCGGCAGCAGUGAGGAAUAUUGGUCAAUGGGCGCGAGCCUGAACCAGCCAAGUAGCGUGAAGGAUGACUGCCCUACGGGUUGUAAACUUCUUUUAUCAAGGAAUAAAGUGAGGCACGUGUGCCUUUUUGUGUGUACUUUAUGAAUAAGGAUCGGCUAACUCCGUGCCAGCAGCCGCGGUAAUACGGAGGAUCCGAGCGUUAUCCGGAUUUAUUGGGUUUAAAGGGAGCGUAGACGGUUGGUUAAGUCAGUGGUAAAAUUUGGGGGUCAAACCUAGUAGUGCCAUUGAUACUGGCAGCCUUGAGUACACGAGAGGUAGGCGGAAUGCGUGGUGUAGCGGUGAAAUGCAUAGAUAUCACGAAGAACUCCGAUUGCGAAGGCAGCUUAC
rnacentral:rRNA from 1 species